UACAGAGGUCCCAAGCGUUGUUCGGAUUCAUUGGGCGUAAAGGGUGCGUAGGCGGCGCGGUAAGUCGGGUGUGAAAUCUCGGGGCUUAACUCCGAAACUGCAUUCGAUACUGCCGUGCUUGAGGACUGGAGAGGAGACUGGAAUUUACGGUGUAGCGGUGAAAUGCGUAGAUAUCGUAAGGAAGACCCAGUGGCGAAGGCGGGUCU
rnacentral:rRNA from 1 species